rnacentral:pre_miRNA from 1 species
CUUGUACUCCCUCUGUCCGAAAAUACUUGUCAUUGAAAUGGAUGUAUCUAGAUGUAUUUUAGUUCUAGACACAUCCAUUUUGGUGACAAGUAAUUCCGGAUGGAGGGAGUACUUG